UACGGAGGGUGCAAGCGUUGUCCGGAUUUAUUGGGUUUAAAGGGUGCGUAGGUGGCCUUGUAAGUCCGUGGUGAAAGCCUCUCGCUUAACGAGAGAACUGCCAUGGAUACUGCAAGGCUUGAGUCCAGACGAGGUUGGCGGAAUGGAUGGUGUAGCGGUGAAAUGCAUAGAUACCAUCCAGAACCCCGAUUGCGUAGGCAGCUGACUAGGCUGGUACUGACACUGAGGCACGAAAGCGUGGGGGAGCGAACAGG
rnacentral:rRNA from 1 species